UACGAAGGGGGCUAGCGUUGUUCGGAUUUACUGGGCGUAAAGCGCACGUAGGCGGCCAUUCAAGUCGGAGGUGAAAGCCCAGGGCUCAACCCUGGAAUUGCCUUCGAUACUGUUUGGCUAGAGACCGGAAGAGGUAAGUGGAACUGCGAGUGUAGAGGUGAAAUUCGUAGAUAUUCGCAAGAACACCAGUGGCGAAGGCGGCUUACUGGUCCGGUUCUGACGCUGAGGCGCGAAAGCGUGGGGAGCAAACAGG
rnacentral:rRNA from 1 species